UACGUAGGGGGCUAGCGUUGUCCGGAAUCAUUGGGCGUAAAGAGCGUGUAGGCGGCCCGGUAAGUCCGCUGUGAAAGUCGGGGGCUCAACCCUCGAAAGCCGGUGGAUACUGUCGGGCUAGAGUCCGGGAGGGGCGAGUGGAAUUCCUGGUGUAGCGGUGAAAUGCGCAGAUAUCAGGAGGAACACCAAUGGCGAAGGCAGCUCGCUGGAACGGAACUGACGCUGAGGCGCGAAAGCGUGGGGAGCGAACAGG
rnacentral:rRNA from 1 species